rnacentral:rRNA from 1 species
GGGACAACAUCCCGAAAGGGGUGCUAAUACCGAAUGUGACAGCAAUCUCGCAUGAGGAUGCUGUGAAAGAUGGCCUCUAUUUAUAAGCUAUCGCUAGAGGAUGGGCCUGCGUCUGAUUAGCUAGUUGGUGGGGUAACGGCCUACCAAGGCGAUGAUCAGUAGCCGGUCUGAGAGGAUGAACGGCCACAUUGGGACUGAGACACGGCCCAGACUCCUACGGGAGGCAGCAGUGGGGAAUCUUCCGCAAUGGGCGAAAGCCUGACGGAGCAAUGCCGCGUGAGUGAUGAAGGAAUUCGUUCCGUAAAGCUCUUUUGUUUAUGACGAAUGUGCAGAUUGUGAAUAAUGAUUUGUAAUGACGGUAGUAAACGAAUAAGCCACGGCUAACUACGUGCCAGCAGCCGCGGUAAUACGUAGGUGGCGAGCGUUGUCCGGAAUUAUUGGGCGUAAAGAGCAUGUAGGCGGUUUUUUAAGUCUGGAGUGAAAAUGCGGGGCUCAACCCCGUAUGGCUCUGGAUACUGGAAGACUUGAGUGCAGGAGAGGAAAGGGGAAUUCCCAGUGUAGCGGUGAAAUGCGUAGAUAUUGGGAGGAACACCAGUGGCGAAGGCGCCUUUCUGGACUGUGUCUGACGCUGAGAUGCGAAAGCCAGGGUAGCGAACGGGAUUAGAUACCCCGGUAGUCCUGGCCGUAA